AAGCUCCCUUGCAAUAUGCAGCCUCAAAAUUAUUUACUAAUCAACAUGUAAAUUCAAUUAAACGGCAGAGUGAGGCUCUGGAACCGAUGGAGCAGUCUAUAGAUGAUCUGAAGCGAAUGCAGCAAGCAAACAAAGCGGAAAUUAUUAAGUCAAGAAUGGAUAACAUUGAUGCAACACUUUCUCCAGACCUACUGUUCUUGGUAAAGCAAUCCCGAGACAAAGGAGCGAGUUCCUGGCUAAAUGCGAUUCCACUCAAAGAUCAAGGUCUAGCCCUCAAUAAGCAAGAAUUCAGAGACUCGUUACGAAUGAGAUACAAUUUAACUUUGAACGAUUUACCAAGUCAUUGUGCGUGUGGAGAUCGCUUUAACAUCAAUCAUGCCCUCUCUUGUAAAAAAGGUGGGUUCGUUGCACAAAGGCACGAUGGAAUCCGUAAUUUGCUAACAGCGCAACUGGAUAAAGUGUGUAAGAAUGUGGAAAUUGAGCCUCAUCUUCAACCCCUUGAUAAUGAGAGAUUUGACUUGAGAUCGGCUAAUAUAAGACCCGAAGCGAGAUUGGACAUGAAGGCGAACGGUUUCUGGCUACGUGGAGCUACUGCAUUUUUUGACGUAAGAGUAACGCAUGUAAACUCCCGAUGUAACCAAGGCCGGCCAACCCAGAACACUUUUAAGGAACACGAGAACGAAAAGAAGAGAAAAUACCAACAGAGAGUUUUAGAUGUUGAAAUGGGCUCCUUUACCCCACUUGUUCUUGGAACCAAUGGUGUAAUGGGGUCUGAAUGCCACAAGUUUCUUACUCAGCUGGCGCAGAAAUUAGCAGCAAGAGACCAUGAACGUUAUGCAGUUUUCAUAGCUUGGUUGAGAACCAGAAUCUCUUUCGAAAUUCUAAGAUCGGUACAUGCGAGUGUAAGGGGAUCUAGAUCACCUUUCUAUAGAAAAGAACUUGAAGUGGUAGACGAUUUUGGACUAAAUGUUAAGAUUGCAGAGGUUUUUUAAAGUUUCUUAGACUUUAACUUUACGUGCGAAGUACUCCUUUUCUAUAAAAAUUAGGAAGAACAACAAUCAUUAUGACAUUCGAAGAGUUUAAACAGCCCAUUGGAAAAUGCAUGGUGAUUAGAAUAGUUAAUUUUGAUCUAGUUUUAUUUAGAAUUCUUUUAAAUAAGUAUAUAGUUAAUUUGAAUAAAUAGAAUUAUGUGACUGUCUUCUCUCGGUGCUGCCUAUGGCGGUAUCGUUGGAGAUCCUUCGGGAUCUUUCUAAAAACUCUCCUCUCUGCUACCUCAAAUGGGGGCGCAGUGGGGGUUUGUUUUUCUCCCCCAAAGUGCCCCCGGGUUGUGGUAGCAACCUCUUUUGUCUUCCUUUUUAAUUUAUGAUCAGUCUAAUCAAUAUAUGCAAAUGAAUCUUAUUAUAAACAUGAGAGCCCAACAUAUAACAUUUAAGAAAGCCAUCAAAACAAUUGAAGUUUAAAAGUAAUGAUGACUUUCUUUAAGGUUAUAUGUUGGGCUCUCAUAUUUAUAAUAAGAAUCCGUUUUCCGCCUGGCAAAUCUCUAGCUACGAUAUAUGCAAAUGAAGUUUACGUAAUCGUAUCUAUGAUGUAAUAAUUUAUGCUGAACCUAACACAUGCGCAGUUCACGACGAGCUUCUCUCUCGAUCUAUUCAAUAUGGUGGUCAAUCAAGAAAUGUUUUUGCUUGCAAAAAGAUCGUAAAUUGUUGGCGCUACAAGCUCGGAAAGAAGGAAGCAUCCAAACAAAUUCAUUUGUAACAUGGUGGAUAACAAAGUCCC